UAGAAGUCUUGCAUAACCAAAGAUUGAUCAACACACCUGCCUAGUGUUAACAUCUUCCACAAGAAAGAUGGCUAGUUCUAAAGUAAUGUGGGUGUUCUGCCUCCUAGCUUUACUGGCUUUCACUUCUUGUUCUUAUCAUGUACGAGCAGAAGAUCAUGCCACUAAGGAGAAAAAUGAGGUGAUGGAGUAUUGCAAGAGGUACAUAUUCAAAAAUUACGGCGAUCAGUUUCCUGACCCCCACAGGAAAUGUUGCCAAACAGUAAGAGAAUCAAGACACAUCCAUGCUAUACGCCAGAAAUUCACGCACGCGGAUUUGCAUAAGAUCAGUCUAGCCAAGUGGCUCAUGUUACAUAUUGGUGUGGCAACAGAUUGCACCCAGGGACUAAUUGCGCAGGUGUGUUAAUNNNNNNNNNNNNNNNNNNNNNNNNNNNNNNNNNNNNNNNNNNNNNNNNNNNNNNNNNNNNNNNNNNNNNNNNNNNNNNNNNNNNNNNNNNNNNNNNNNNNNNNNNNNNNNNNNNNNNNNNNNNNNNNNNNNNNNNNNNNNNNNNNNNNNNNNNNNNNNNNNNNNNNNNNNNNNNNNNNNNNNNNNNNNNNNNNNNNNNNNNNNNNNNNNNNNNNNNNNNNNNNNNNNNNNNNNNNNNNNNNNNNNNNNNNNNNNNNNNNNNNNNNNNNNNNNNNNNNNNNNNNNNNNNNNNNNNNNNNNNNNNNNNNNNNNNNNNNNNNNNNNNNNNNNNNNNNNNNNNNNNNNNNNNNNNNNNNNNNNNNNNNNNNNNNNNNNNNNNNNNNNNNNNNNNNNNNNNNNNNNNNNNNNNNNNNNNNNNNNNNNNNNNAUAGCAUUUUGAUGUAAUUUCCAAGCUUAUCUUCAUGAAAUUAAUUACUUACGAGGAACACAAUCUCAUAUGUAGGUUUCAUCGUUCCAGAUUAUAGUGCGCCACCACCUCCAGAACACUAAACGUAAGGCCGGUCCGGUCAAAUAAGGAAAGGAGUGUUAUAAUAUGGAGCACUUAGUCUAAGGCAGUCUUAUCGAACAAAGGAAGGGAUGCUAUGAUAUUGAUGCUUUAUCAUAGGACCUCUGCAAUAAUGUAUCUUACUUUUAAUUUUAUGACUAAUAAAAGGACUGCCCGCAUGUUCUCUUUGUGUUUAGUAUGAUAUUUAGUUGUCCAUUGACAUACAUGGCCUCAAGCAAUGACUUUCACUUCUGAUAAAAUAGACUGCUGAAUUAAAUCCAAAGUCUUGUAAACAAACAUAGCUUGUUCUAUUCCUAAUAAUCACUAUAAUAAACACUAAUAAAUAAUUUGUGUUUGUCGAAUGGCAUGGUCUUUGCCGAGCAUUUUAUGGGAUAUUGGUAGACCACCUAUUUGUCGAGAACCACACUCGGUAAAAGCAAGCACUUGAUAGUCUUUAGUUCGUCGAGAGCUAUGAGAAAAAUACCCGGCAACCCCAAAACACUCGGCCAAUGCAACUUUUGAUGAGAGCUCGUGACAUGGUACUCGACAACUAGGAGCCAUGUGGCACAGCCGUCCAAGGUUGAAGGCUCUGUGACACUAAUGCGUCCCCAGACACGAGGCUAUGAUUUGCCGGCAAUUUGGGACCACUUAACCGGCGCCUUCAGUGUCAGUUGGUGUUUCCUACGCCCACGCAGUUGACAGUAUGGGCCGGCCCACCACAAGGCGAGGCGGACCGCGCCUCUUCGUAUGCUUUUGUUGACCGGUUGACAGUUGACCAGUUGGCCGGUCAACCAUUGACUUUUGAAUUAAAAAACGAAAAGUUUUUCAAAAAUGUUCAUGGAUUUUGGAAAAAUAAACUAAAAAAAUAAAAAAACCACAAAUUUGAAAAAAAAACACUCAUAAAUUUUGAAAAAAGUCCACGAAUUGGAAAAAAAUCAUCGAUGCAUAUGAUCGCUAGCUUUUCCUCGAAAGAAAUUUUGAUAGUUAGCUUCGAAGAGUGACACCAUUUUGAGGGCCUAGCUUAAAAUUCUGAUCGCUAGCUUCGUUUGUGUUUUAGCACUGAUCGCUAGGUUCUUUUUUUCUUUCUUUUAGAUACCGAUCGCUAGCUUUGUGCUAACCGGUAGCCUACUAGCACAGACGAGCGGUUGAACAUAUAGGCCAGCCCACCCUGGUAGGAGUGCAGGACAUGCGGACGAGCUGGUUUAUUUGUUUUGGGUUUUAACAAAUCAAACAAACAAUGAGGAAGUGAGGUGACGCUGACAUCUCUACUCCUAAGGGAGCUGUUGGUAGUCUCGCUUUCAGGUAUUUUUUAGUCCCACCUCCCACGGUUUAUUUUGGUACCUCUUCCCACCUCUGACUAAGACAUCACAAACCGAAAAAACCUCCUCCUGAGGCCCGAACCCGCACCUAUCCACAUGCGACCCUCAAAAGACGUACGAAGGUUAACCUGCGACAAAAAAACCUACGACGGUCAACCAGCGACGAGUCCUGUUCUCGAGCGAGGCCCCCCUUCGUGGCCGCCCUACAUCCCUGCGCCGCCGCGCUUCAGUCGCUGCCCUCCAUCCUCGCCGUCCUCCAUCCUGGUCGAGGUCGCCGCCCCGCUUCACUCGCCGUCCUCCAUCCGCGUCGAUCCUGGACAAGGUCGCCGCGGCCCUCCAUCACUUCGCCGCCGCGCUGAACACCUCGACGAUCCGGCGCGGGUCCUGGAUCAGGUCGCCGCCGCCCUCCAUCACUUCGCCGCCGCGCUGAACUCCUCGCCCUUGAUCCAGGAUAUCCGGCGCCGAUCCUGGACGAGGAUAAGCGGACACGUCCAGGAUCCGGCCAGAACACGUCCUGGAUCCGAAAAAUAGGUAUACAAACCAUCUCAUACGUCAAUCGCAUCUCAUACAUCUCAAAUGCCAUACAAUCGCAUCUCAUACAUCUCACAGCCCAUACAUCCAUCGCAUGUCAUACAGCCAUGGCAAGUGCUUUCACAGGGAUGGAUCCGCCUGCGAGAUUGAUUUCUGUUCUACACAGUUUAGGUUUUUUUCCAUGUUAAAACUAGACUCAAGUACACAUGUUUACAGAUGGCAAUUGGCAAAAAAAAUUACCAAGGGGUAUCCUGCAUCCUGCACUUGUAUAACUAUGGCAAAAAAGAAAACACAAACCAUACAGGACCCUAGAGUAUGUUUCCACUUGUGCUGAGAUGUAGAAGAUGUAGAUGAAAGUGCCAUUGCAGUAUUUAUGUAGAAUAAAAUACAAUUGCAGUAUAUGCUAGCAACAGGUUGCAGUAUAUAUGUAGAACAAUAACCCUUCCAGAAUGUCAUCAAAUAACUACCAUUUCUGUCUUCAUGAUUUUUGCCAUUCAAUAGUUGCAUAUGGGGAAUUCAAAAAGCACGGUUGGCGAACAUCAACCUGAAGAUGACGUAACUACAGGUAUGAUGCACUCUACCAUGUUUUCGUUUAGUUGCGAGACCUGAAUAUAUGACAGUAUGCAUAAUGUCUUCCAGGUCUUACAAGCGGGAGAAGUGAUGCAGAACACAAUGCGAGCAUCAUACCCGUAGCUGAAAUUGUUGAUAACGUCUACUCGACGGAAUCAGGUAUAAUACUGUCCGGAGAUUGGUUAUAAAUGUUGCUUCACGUCCAUUUCUGAAAGUGGCAGAAUGCAUUAUGUGUUGCAGUCCUUACGGGCGGGAUAAAUGUUGGAGACUACAAUGCAAACUUCAUACCCUUACAUGCAGGUAUAAGACUGUGUCAAGAUUAUUGCUGCUAAUGUUUCGUGCAUACCGUAUAUUUUGUUGAUUGCUAAGAUGUAGGGCGGGAACCUUCAAACGACGGGAUUCCGCCGUAUUCUGAGAAUAAUAAGGAUGGUACGACUAAGCUACAAGAUGAUACUCAAGGUAUUCACAGGCAUGCUUAUACAGCUUCCAAAUCGACAUCUCCCAGAUGAGCUUAAUGGGCUUUGUGGUUUUUACGCUUAACGUAAUGCAGAUGACAAAACUUCCGAGCAGCAUGCAACAGUAGCUGUAUUUAAUGAAGAAAAAAAACGUUGGCGAAACAAGGGAGUAGUUCAACGCACAGAGGCGUGAAUCUUAUCGGAAGAAAAAAGAGGAGGAUAUGGUCAGGUUACAAGAGUAUAAUCAGCCAUCCCUUUCAAAGACUGGUAAGUAUUUAAGCGUGAUUUUGCUGACUACUCUUGGUUUUUUCUGACUACCUAUAGUAUGCAAAUUAAUCGUUAUAGUAACCUGACUUCAUAGAUGUUCCCCGUGUUGGUUUCAUAGAUGUUGUAUCAACAUCGAUACUUUUUUUGUUCUCUAACUCUCAUACCUAUUGUAAAAAUGGUAGACCAUAGGGAUCUUAUCAACGCGUGGAGGCGGGCAUCUUAUCGCACUAAGAAGUCAGAUGGUUUUAUAAACCAUCUAGACGAUGGGCCGAUUGUUCACCGCCGUACCCAACCAUAACUCAUCGUAAGGUGGCCACCAAGCAAUUAGACCAGGAUGUCGUGAAGAAGUUAGUAGACAUACUCAAAGAAAACCCGUACUCCCAGCAAUUUAGGAGUUUGGGUGCACACAAGGACAACCUCGAUGAUUAUAGGAUAGACCUAAACACCGAUAAGAGGCUUGACCAAAGAAGAUAUAAUAGACCAUUGUCAUCUGAGGUCGCUGCAAUUUGGGUUGAGGGCAACGACCUAGCAAAAAGGUUUGACCGGAGGAUAACACUUUGUGGUAACAACAACGAAAGGCAUAGUAUACGUGUGACCUCCGGAGCAUAUGACCCGUUGUCUUAUCCCCUAUUCUAUCCAAGGGGGGAGCUAGGUUGGCAUCCAAAGCUACUUAAACGUAAUGUAAUGGAGGAGGUUGUACUACAUUCUCAACUGGUCCAUGAUGAUGAUGAGGAUGCAGGUAUGCCGUCUGCGUCCCAUUUUGCUACAAAUAAUAUCUUAUUUCUCGAAUAUAUCCUCAUUUUGAUGGUACUCAAUCAUGUGCAAAGGGCAACAGCAGGUUGUGCGUCUCUGUCAGAGACUACUACUGUUACAUGCUGCAGACACGGCCUGGAAUCUUCAAUCCCAUACUCUGUGGAGCACGCCUCUUGCAGCAAUGGGCGGUCGACAUGUACGUCAAGAUUGAAAGUUGACGGUUGAGGUGGUACAGGAAAAACCAGACGCAGAUUCGUGCCGACUUGUAUAAAGGAGUUGUUGAUGCAAUCACAUCGGGGGAGACGCGAGCAAGCGCUGUUGGGGUAAGAAUAGUGCUCCCUGGAACAUACCCUGGUGGCGACCGCGACAUGAAGAAGAGGCAUAUGGAUGCCAUGCCAAUUGUCCAUACAUACGGGAAGCCUGACAUCUUCUUGACCAUGACUUGCAAUCCUAAAUGGGAAGAGAUAACGAAUGAGUUGCUGUCUGGUCAGACGGCGCAAGACCGACCUGAUAUUGUGGCUCGCGUGUUCUACGGCAAGCUAGAGGCUAUGAAGGACAUGUUGUUCAAGAAGCAUAUCCUGGGUGUUGUUGUCGCAUAUGUAUACGUAGUCGAGUUCCAAAAAAGGGGCCUCCCCCACGCACAUUUUUUGUUGAUCAUGGACUCUAAAUAUAAGCUUAUCGUCCCGGAGCAGUAUGACCGACUCAUUUCCACAGAGCUCCCAGACAAGCAUAAGUAUCCGGAAUUGUAUGCUAUGGUGGUAAAACAUAUGAUGCACGGACCAUGCGGUGCUCUCAACCCGAAAAAUGUUUGCAUGCAAGAAAACAGAUGCAAGUGCAGAUACCCACGGCCGUUCAAUGAAAACACAUCACAGGGGAAGGACUCGUACCCAAUUUAUUGGCGUAGAGACGAUGGAAGGCAUGCUAAGGUCCGAGGGAAGAUGUUGGACAACAGAUGGGUUGUGCCUUAUAACCCAUACCUGCUGCGGAUGUUCAAUUGCCACAUCAACGUUGAGGUCUGCUCCAGCAUAAAGGCCGUCAAAUAUCUUUACAAGUACAUUUACAAGGGCCAUGAUAAGGCUUCUUUCAGCAUCGACCAUCCCGACGCCGAUGGUAACAUUGAUGAGAUCAAGAGAUACGUUGAUGCAAGGUGGAUCACCCCUCCGGAGGCUAUGUGGAGGAUAUUUGGCUUUCCACUUUGCGCCAAUUACCCACCUGUCUUGCAGUUGCCUCUUCAUCUCCCGAAUAUGCACAGGGUCGCAUUCAAUGCGCAGGUUGACUUGAAGAAUGUUGUCGCCUCCGAAAAUAAUUCAAAAUCCAUGUUAACGGAGUAUUUCAAGGCUAACCAGGAACACCCUCGGGCUAGGCAUAUAUUGUACAAGGAUUUUCCCGGAAGCUUCACGUGGCAGAAGAAAAAGAAGUUUUGGAAGCCGCGGGUCGAGCGUUUUCAAAUAGGUCGCAUCGUGUCUGCCAAUCCUGCCAAGGGUGACCGAUACUACCUGCGUGUGUUGCUAAACCAUGUUACGGGCAAAACAUCCUUUGACGACUUGCUCACCGUGGACGGCGUUCUAUGUGGGAGCUUUAGAGAAGCUGCUGAAAGGUUGGGACUCAUCGAGGCAGACAACACGCUCGACAACUGUCUUACUGAGGCUGAGCAGUGGGCGAUGCCAUGUUCUCUUAGGAGGCUCUUCGCAACCAUCUUGGUGCACUGAGAGCCAAGCGACGUGCGUGGUUUAUGGGAUAGGCACCUCGAUCCUAUGUUAGAUGACUAUCGUCGAUCACGCACGUCCCCUAUCGAGGUGGAGCAGAUGGUGUUGCUUGACAUUAGGGGUAUGUUGCAGUCCAUGGGUAAAGACAUUGUUGAUUUCGCUCUUCCAAGCAUAGAUGAUGCGUUUGACCCAACCGAGGGUGAGGCAAGAGAGGUCAUCGAGGAAUCAACUGUUGAGUUUGACGUGGAUGAUACUAAAUUGGCAUCUUCCCUGAACUUGGAGCAGAGGGCCGCAUACGACGAGAUACUAGCGGCUGUUGAACGCGGUGAUGGGGGUGUAUUCUUUGUUGAUGGCCCUGGAGGUACAGGGAAGACCUUUCUAUACAGGGCGAUGCUUGCCAAGGUGAGGAGCGAUGGCAAUAUUGGUAUCGCUACCGCGACGUCGGGCGUCGCCGCUUCUAUCAUGCCUGGCGGCAGAACUGCCCACUCGAGGUUCAAGAUCCCAUUGAGUUGCGAUGAUGGAGCCUCGUGCAGCUUCACGAAGCAGAGUGGGACCGCCAAGCUGCUUAGGAUGGCCUCAUUGAUAAUAUGGGACGAGACCAGCAUGACGAAACGACAAGCGGUCGAGGCAUUGGACAAUAGCAUGCGCGACAUCAUGGGAAUACGCGACCGACCCUUUGGAGGAAAGACUGUUGUUUUGUGCGGGGACUUUAGGCAGGUGCUUCCGGUCGUCAGAAGGGGGUCGCGGGGCCAGAUAAUUGAUGCAACCCUACGAAGUUCUCAUCUAUGGAAGGGUAUGCGGCAGCUUCGGCUCAUCACCAACAUGAGGGCUCAUAAUGACGCGUGGUUUGCAAAUUACUUGCUAAGGGUCGGCAAUGGCACUGAGGAAGUCGACGAUCAAGGCAACAUACUACUCCCUGAAGACAUUUGUCUGCCGUCUACAGGCAAGGUUGACGACCUGGAGAAGCUUAUUCACCACGUGUUUCCGAGUCUAGAUGACAACAUGUCUGAUUCAAAUUACAUGACAUCUCGAGCAAUCCUUUCCACGACAAACGACAAUGUCGACAAGAUAAACAUCCGCAUGAUGGAGCGUUUUCAGGGAGAUGAAGUAAUAUACCAUAGCUUUGACAGUGCGGAGGACGACCCAUAUGGCUACUACGCUCAGGAGUUUCUGAAUGGAUUGACUCCUAACGGUCUUCCUCCGCAUGUACUCAAGCUAAAGCUGAACUACCCUGUCAUACUUCUAAGGAACAUUGAUCCAGCAAAUGGAUUGUGUAACGGCACUAGGCUUGUUGUUCGAGGUUUUGAGAGGAACACCAUUGAUGCAGAAAUCGUGAUUGGACAACACGCUGGCAGGAGGGUCUUCCUUCCUCGAAUACCUCUCUGCCCAUCUGAAAACGACAUGUUUCCGUUCAAGUUUAAGAGGAAGCAAUUUCCUAUAAGGCUUAGCUUUGCUAUGACCAUUAACAAGGCCCAAGGGCAGACAAUCCCGAUUGUUGGUGUCUACCUACCCAAUCCCAUGUUCUCUCAUGGUCAACUCUAUGUUGCUUUGUCUCGAGCCACCGCAAAGAGAAACAUAAAGAUACUCAUUCAGAAGGAGAAGCCGAAGGAGAAGUCCAACAAGCAAAAGGACAAUCCAAAUAAGCGAAAAAGACCGACCGUGUAAUUACUAACCUCGAUGAAGAACAUCGUCUACAAGGAAGUCCUUACAGGCUGAAGUCCGGUCUUAAUAGAUCGGCAGGUUAUGUAAUGACACAACAUUUACUCUUGUGAUGGUCAAGAUUUAUUGUAAUUCGUUUUUUUACAUAUAUCUUUUUUAUUUGGUAUUUUGAUAGUUGGAGGUAUACUCCAUUUAGUUGAGCUACUAACUGCAUUUCAAUAAUCAGCCGUCAUGUUGGCACCAUUAUCGCUGUUAUAUCUUUUCUAGUAUCGCAAUGUUUCUGGCAGUGUACAUGUCACCCACCGUAGUAUUUCAUGUGUAAUAUGUGAUUCAGAUAUAAUGAUUGGCCUGAAAAAUACCUGGAACAUGCAAUGAAACUUUUGUGUUACGGCAAGUGAUCAUAUCCAUUGUUAUUAUUUUGAUAUUUUGAUAAUAUGGUUGAAUGUAAAUUUAUUGGCGUCCUUAUUAUCCCUGUAUUAUUCUGAUAGGUCAGAAGUAUAGGAUUAUGAUUGGUCUGAAUUAUAAGACCAACACACGCAGAAGGGAAGUUUGUGUAGCUUUUCAAGAUAUAUUUUGCAUAUGUACAUCUAAUAAAUAAUAAAAUGGUAGCCUGCGUACUUGCAAAUAUGUUCAAAUGCCCGUGCGACUCUGGAGAAUGUGACAAUGCACGUGUCUGAUUGCUGAAGUGUGCAAUCUUUGGAAAAAAGAUUGAUUACUUGUACUUUCACGCGUCUGAACUAAUUAUUUAUCAGUUCAGUUCAAGUUUCAUUUUUAUUUUUUGCAUUGGUUCAUGUACCUUCAUGAGUUUACUGUGGAUCUGAAAGAGUUCUAACCUAAAAAAUUGUACAAGGCUGCAUUAAUCUAGGACCUGGCGAGGAUUGGUUCAGAGAGCAAGCAUCGUUCCGCAGUAUCUUAAGGACGCUGGUUGGGCUGAGGGUGGUCGCCUUAUAGGUUGCACCCAGCCAAGACGAUUGGCUGUGCAGGUAUCAACUGUUUAAAUGUUCAUCAAAAUGUGUAUCCUUCUCUAGAUGCCAUGUAAUACUAGGUUUCUCUUUUUACCUUCUGAUCAGAGCAUGCACCAGAUUAUUCUUUUGGGUACGUCCCUAGCAACUAGCAUGGCGAGUAAGGAUCUUAGCUAAUUAUCUAGAGCAAGCUUCUGUAUUACUUAUGGAUAUUCUGGUGCAACAUGAAUCAAACCCGGGCAACAUGAAUCUAAGAAAUAAAUUAUUAGAGAUAGAUAACUCCUAAAAGAUAAGCUUGGAGGACUUUCGCAGAGCUCCCAGCCACGAAGAUUUAUCCAGCUUCCCCUUUGUGACCUAGCCGUUUGUGACAGGGUUGCCAUGUGGUAGUGGCCAUAGUGCCCAAAAGUGUGUCUGUAACAGGAGACUUCAUCCUGCAAAAUUAUUCAUGUGCUCCGGCAGUGAUUUCUGACAUCCUAUACGGAGCAGUCAGCUGAUAGAACCAUAUCUGUACUAAUUAGAAGAUGGUAGCUGAACAUUUUGUUUACUGCAUUGGUAUUACUAAUUUCCAUAUGUUUGAAUUUUUUUACAAGGUAGGGGUUGCGUUCUAUUUUACAUUUGUUGUCAAUGUAUUUUUUAUGUAAUACUAUGUCACUACUAUAUAACACUGAUUUUUAGCGUAGAUAUCCAUGAAGCCAGCCUCAUGACACUUGACGAAACACGUGCGUACGUCAAUGGUGUUGUUCAAGCUAGGAACAAUGGAGGCUAGAAGUAUCUGUGUACACAAGUGCACAAUUUGUCUUAGAUAUAAAAAUGUAUGAACGCUUUGCAUGCAACAUUUUGUUGCCAAUUGUCACAUUAUGAAGUGUUCGCUUAUGUCUUGGAGGUUUAAUAAUAUGUGAUAUUCAAUAAAAAAAUAUUUAACAGUGUCGUCAUAUUUCGUAGCCAUAUACUGUGAAGUUCAGAACUAUAUAUUUGACUAAUAUAUAUUUGAUGACCAAACUGUCAAUAAUGGACUUCAAAUGGUAACCUGUCUACUCUCAUUUGAGCUACACGUAUGAAUCUCUUUCAGUGUAGGUUCAAAUUUUUUAAUAUACAGUGCAGCGCAAAAAGAAAAUACGUUUACCUUGACAGAUGCUAUCGCAUGCUAUCAUGCAUUAUGACAUUCCAAAGAUAAUAUAAUUAAUUUUGUACAUGGAAUCAAGGAUUGCCGUAUGCCCGUGCGUUGUGUUUCUUUCUACACACGGAAACAAUAGUUCUUCAAGUGGCGUGGGCUUUUUGAUCAUGGUGAGGAGGACAAAAAUAGAAGAAGAAAAAACGUUGUGUUUCUUUAUAUUUCUCGGACGCCCGUGUUUGACAUAUAUUUGGGAAAUAAAUUAAUUGUUUCUUUCUAUAUAUCUGGAGGCAAAGUUUGGAAAGGAGACAUAAAUUAGGAAAUAUAUAAUCCGGCGUUGAUACAUUUGCCGGGUGGAGCAUGCAACCAAAAUAAUUUUAUUCCAUGUUUUCCUAUAGUUUUUGUUAUGGAAUAUUGUAACUACGGAAGGAUAUGGGCCACCUUCCGAGUACAUGCCCACGAUUCCUCCCGGCCAGGAUAUGUCAAUUAGAACUAUAAUUAUCCUUAAAGUCAUUUCCUUCCAAAACGUUAUAGUGUCCAAUCUCCCGGUCCGGCCUACCAUACGUUCAAUGGGUUUCCCAGUGUGGCCAUUAAUAUUCCCUUAAUCGGAUUUGUUUAUAAGGAAAGUUAAAUUAUGCUUCUUCCGAUCGGGAAAGGGAGACAUAUAUAAUAGAUAUAUAAUCCGGCAUAUAUUUAUUUGCCCAGUGGAGUAUGGAAGAAAAACAUAUGCUUGUCCUUUUAUUAGCAAGGAUUUGUAAUGAAACAUGCACGGAUGGAAUGAUAAGGGGCACCUUCCAAUCCAUACAACAUGCUAAUGUGUCACCGACCUGGUGCCGGACGAUUCCCCUCCGACACUCAUAUAUAUGGUCCGGCUGUGAGUCCACCGUUGUCCACUGCCCCCUCGCUCGCUCGUCCUGGUGCUAAGACGACUUUCUGCCCGUGCCAAUGGCUGCAAUGCCGAUUUUUGAUGGAGUGAACGACGCAGUCGAGUACAUAUACAACUACGUCAUGCUUUCCUCAGUCGAGGAGCAGUUAGAGUUUGUUCUGGCAGCCCUAAACUCUAUCUAUAAUUUAUUUGCAAUUGUUAGCUGCAGAUCAGUACCAUUAUAUUAUGCAUUAUCGGCUUCUUAUUUUAAACCCUAGUAAAAAUCUGUUCUUUCACCUAAUCCACGUCGAUGAGUUGGUCACGUUCAUAAGUUGUUGCAUGCAUGCACUGGUUAGGAUCAUGCGAUCCUUUCUAAGUCCAUAAGGUUCUUAAGAUCUAACGUAGUGGUUGCAAAAAUCUGGUCAUGCGCUAAUAUUAUCCUUUUACAUUACGCCAUGUUAGUACCAUCCACAGCACGUUAUUUUAAACUAUAAAUUUUCUAUGAACUGUAGUAUAUUGCAACGGGUCCUGGUGCAUGAUACAUGUACCAUCUAUAGAUUUUAUCAUAACUGUAAUAGGAACAAGUUGCAACCGAACAUAUCAUAAUAGAUUUGGUUAUCUUACGAAAUAGUACUUAUGUCCUCAAAUGACACUACAACUCCAAUUUUUAGGUACAUACAUUUCAGACCUUUCUAAAGUUUUGAAAAAAUAUACUAUUGUUUGCCCACACAUUGAAGUACAAUAUUUUUAUGAUACCCUGAUUUUAUCAUGCCGGUUUGUUUGCAGCACAAUAUGGAUAAGGAGCCCUCGUCCAUUCAUGAUCGAGUUAAGUCUACGGACUAUCCAAGACACCAUGCGAGGUGAUACAUGGGUCAAUCCGAGCUGCUUCGAUCUUGCAGUGCGUAAGCUUAGUAGCGACGCGAUACAAAGGAACGCAGGAACAUGUUAAUCUUGUAUUUAAAAAAAGGACUGUGAUAUUUGGCACAUGUGUGCCAUAUAAGGAAAACUGCCACACCUCUACUUCUUUCACUUUAAAGUACCACACGAUCCCUUCCUUCGACCCCGCAGGCUCACCCGAGAAACCUGCUUCUCCCGCACAUCUCGCGCGCCCACCCCCGAGAAAACUGCCACUUUUUCACGUCUACCACAUGAUAAAAAAAUAUUGCGCAUGUGGGAUUCGAACCCACACCUCCUUGGCACCAAAGCGCGCCACCACAACCAACUCACCCUUAGGUAUUUGUUGCUCAAACUAAAGAAACUAAUCGUUUUGGCCCCUUUUUUUACAAUUUUGUUACUACAAAAAAGUACAGAAAAUUACCACGAUUUCCCCUCAGGACAAAGUUACCAUGGUAUUCGCAUGCAAGUUAUCAGUCCUGUGUUGCGUAAGUUACCGUGCUAUUUACAUAGAACUUACCAGGUACUAUGUUUCAACAACUACACCCUUUUCAAAGUUACCAUUGUGUUUUGUACACAAGUUAUAAGGUCUUCGAUGUGUAAAAUACCGUGGUACUUACACAUAAGUUAUCAGGGUAUGUGUACAUCAACCUCGCCCUGGUCAAAGUUACCAUGGGGGGUUGUACAUGAGUUACCGGGUCUACAGUUCGUAUAUUAUCAUGGUACUUACACCUAAAAACCUGCGUGUGUUUCGGUAACUUUUUUCAUAUGUCAAAAAUUACCACGAUGUUUUUGCGUAACUUAUCACGCCUAUAGUGGGUCAAAGUGGGUCGUUUUUCUGGGCCAACCCACAAGCACAUGUGCCCCUCAUGACACUAAACAUUAUGUGGCUUUUCCGUGGCACACCAUGUGUUGUGUUCAUCUAAGAGGCCCCGUGAGGCGAGUGUAUGUUUUUAACAACUUGUUUUCCUUUGACAAGUUACCAUCAUGUUUAUAUUGUAUGUUAUCGGUUAUGCGGUGCUUAUAUUAUCAUGUUAUUCACACAAAAGUUAUCGGGGAUGUUUUGAACAACUUUUUCCUGGGACAAAAAGUUAUCAUGGUGAUUCUAGGUAACCUAUCAAGCCCGCAGUGCUUAAAAUAUCAUGUUAUUUACACAAAAUUUAUCANNNNNNNNNNNNNNNNNNNNNNNNNNNNNNNNNNNNNNNNNNNNNNNNNNNNNNNNNNNNNNNNNNNNNNNNNNNNNNNNNNNNNNNNNNNNNNNNNNNNNNNNNNNNNNNNNNNNNNNNNNNNNNNNNNNNNNNNNNNNNNNNNNNNNNNNNNNNNNNNNNNNNNNNNNNNNNNNNNNNNNNNNNNNNNNNNNNNNNNNNNNNNNNNNNNNNNNNNNNNNNNNNNNNNNNNNNNNNNNNNNNNNNUGGUGUUUUAGUUAUCGCAGUGCAUAUGUUUUCAUGCUAUUUAUACUUAAAAAUACUAGGGGAGGGAGGUAUAGUACCGUGCUAUUUACACAGAAGAUACCAGAGUAUCUUUUCAAAAACAAAUCUUCCCUAUGGUCAAAGUUACCAUGGUGUUUCUACCUUAGUUAUCAGAUGUGUGCUGCGUAUAUUACCAUCUAUUUACACAUAAAUUAUCGGGUAUCUUUUCACAUUUUUCUUCCCCAAUGAUUAAAGUUACCACAAUUUUUGUAUCCAAAUUAUCAGGUCUAUGGCGUGAAUGUUAUCGUGCUAUUUACAGAAAUUACCGGGGCCGGGGUUCAACUCUUCCCAAUGAUCAAAGUUACCACGAUGCUUUCACCAAAGUUACCACGCCUUCAGUGCUUAUGACCAUGCUACUUACACAAUGUACCGCGUGGUGUACAAACGUUAUCAUGUUGGUGGUGCGUCAUUUAUCGUGGUGGUGAUGGAGAAUUUACCACGGGAAAAAUUUAUGUGCCAGGUUUGUAGGUGAAACAAAAGUUUUUCAGUGCUAAAAUAUUAAAGGCAAAACAUGUCAAAAAUAGUCUUUUCCUUAGCCUGUUCAACGAUGAGUGUCAUAGGUGAGGUGGUUAGCUCCCUUUGUUGAUUACCUGCAGACCAAAGAUCAAAUCCCAACCCAAGCAUUAUUUUUGCCCGAAAAUUGGGAAGGCGUGCGGGAAAGGAAGGAGAUCGGGAGGAAAGGAAGGAGAUCGGGAGGACGUGCGGGAAAGGAAGGAGAUCGGGAGGGCGGCCAGAACUGACGGUGUUGGAUGCGUGUUGCAGUUUUGCAAUCUGCCACACGGUUGCCACUUACAUAUUUCGUUAAAAAAAUGUUACAGGUGUAUUAGAAAAUGUUCUUGACGCAUACAAAAAUUGUAGAAUGGAAACCAAAAGGAACCAAAAAAUAAACAAAAAGGUCAAAAAAUAUAUAAUGAGAAAUAAAACCGAAGAAAGAAAUGCAAAAAGUAUGGGGAAACCGGUAAAACUCAUAAAGAAAGAAAGAAAAUUAAAAAACAUUGAAAACUAAGAAAACCAAAAGAAAAAAAGAAAAGAAAAAGAGAAGAAUUGAAAGAAAACGGAUGAAAAACAAAGAAGGAAAGAAAAGAAAAGAAAGAAAGAAAGUGAAAACCGAAAAGAAAGGAAGAGAAACUUUAAAAAAAGAAAAACCGGAGAAACUAGUGAGAAAACAAGAAAAACUAAAAAAAUAGCAAAACCAAUGAAGGAAGCUCAACUAGCAAAGGAACUCGAUAGAAAACUAGCCCAGCGAACGAGCGAAGGAAGUGCAGCGAGCGAUCGCGAACGAAAGAAAAAAGCAAAACUUGGCCGGCCUGAUAACUUCGUUGCAGAGCAAAGAUCUUCAGAGCAUCUCUAGCAGACCCUGAAUCCCGCCGACCCGCAAAACGCGUUUGCAGUUCGCGGAAAACGCGUUUUAAGGGUCGGUUUUUGCCGCGGCAGAACAGACCCCUCAAACUUAAACUGUAAAACGGAAUAUUCGCUUAUAUUCUGUCUUCUUCUUCCUCUCGUCCAUGUCCAUGGUCAGCUAGCUUGCUCCCGCAAAACCGACGAAUAACACACGAAGCGGUAAAAAUGGAGCCGCAGGAUCCAUCCAUUAGCUAACUAGCUCUGCUCGAAUCGAUCGAGAGCUACCUGCUAGCUCUGCUCGAAUCCAUCAAUCGGAUUUCGGGUUCCGCAGACCCUUGAGAGGUUCGAACUCUAGGGUGCGCACGAAGAGCACUCUCUCCCCAGUCUGCACACUCAACGAUUCCACGGCCUAGCUCGAUGAACCCAAAGAACAAGUGACACGGGGGUUUAUACUGGUUCGGGCCACCUUGCGGUGUAAUACCCUACUCCAGUUUUGUGGUGGAUUGCCUCGAGGGGCUGAGGAUGAACUAGUACAGUGGAUGAACGACCUCAGGAGGUGAGGUGUUCUUGAGCUCGAUGAGCUGGUGAGAUGGCCUUGGUGGAAUGGAUCCAGUCCAAGAUGAGAUGCCCCCUAUGGUGGUGGCUAAGUCCUAUUUAUAGUGGCCUUGGUCCUCUUCCCAAAUGUAGGCGGGAAGGGAUCCCACAACGGCCAAGUUUGAAGGGAGACAACUAGUGCAAGCUAUCCUGACAAAAGUAGUCUUCGCCUGCCAAAGGCUGUGGUGGUGACGCCGUUAUGGGCUCCGCGAUGACCUCCGUCCUGCCGUCCUGGUGGUCUUGGUCUUGUUGCACCGAUAAGUAAACCUUUGCUUGAUUCCUCGGAACUCCGCGCCUACGCUUGUCUCCUUAGCACCAAAGAGGAAACUGGUACGCUGCACUCGCUGGCGCCCGCCUGGCCUUGGUCGUCAUGGCUCAUGUCAAGUGAACCUCACGAGGUGCGCCUUGCAUAGAUAUCUCCGCUCCCCGGGAGCCAGCCUAGCGAGGCCGCCCCCAGGGAGGUCUUGGUGUCGUCCGCCUCGCGAGGCUUGACCCCUCGCGAGGGUCUUGAGGUGUUGCUGCUAAAGCUGGGCCGUACCGGGCCGUUGAUGGAGCCACGCCUUGGGCCGCAGACAGGCACGUCUGGGUACCCCCAUUCCCAGGACGCCGACAGUAGCCCCCGGGCCCAAGGCGCGCUCGGGCUUGGCUUCGAGACGAAGCCAAUGGGCAAGUGCGGAGCACCGCGGGCCCCAACCUCCUGCGGCCUCGGUCGACGCUUGGCGAUUGAUGGGACGUGGGCGCCUCCACUUCCCCAUGAUGCCUCAGCAACCGUUCUCGCCUGACAAAAAGGCUGGCGCAUGCUGCAGAGCCUUCAUUGCCUUCCUUCGUCUUGCUCCAGAUCCCCUUUCUCUUUCUCGCUCCAAAGACUCCUAAUCCGCCGAAAAUUCUCCCCGAGCCCGCAGCCGAUGGCGUCCGACAAGGCGAAGGCCGUGCGCUCGCCCUCCUGGUUCGAGCCUGCCUUGAGCGCGCCUACGGUCACGGGGAAGAACCUCGCCGUCGCGCUCCUGAUGACGGCGGCCAGCAGCAACGAGGGCAGAGUCCGCGCUCCGGGCCGGUUCCGCUGAGCCAGAGGCCUCGGGCAGCACCUUCUAUCCUUUCUUCAUGCACAACGUCUUCACGGGGCUGGUCCCUUCUUUAUCUGACUUCUUCUAUGCCGUCCUCAGCCAUUCCAAUCUCCAUGCCCUCCAUCUUCAUCCCAACUCCGUCCUCCUUUUGUCGAUCUUUGCCUUUUACUGCGAGGCAUUCGUGGGGGUGAUGUCGUCCGUGGCGCUGCUUUGCCACUUCUUCUACCUUCGGAACAAGGAGGGCCAGUGCUCGGGGUGCGCCAAUUUCGUUGCGGCCAACGGGACCAACGCAAUCUCAAGAGCCGGGAAGAAGGUUGAGGGCUUCAGGAACAAGUGGGUCCUCAUCGAUGCCAAGAUCUCCUACCCUCGGCUGGCGCUGCCGACGGGGAUGCCUUCGCAUCACGAGGUGUGGCUCAGCGCAAAGCUUGCCGGCCCCCGGGCGAAGCAGGUGCUCGAGAAGAUGGCGGCCGACCUGAAGCCAGACGACCCGAAGGCGGAGAAGCUGAUGGGGGCCAUGAUCGUCAAGGAAUUUCUGUCGCAGCACUUGGCUCCACUCCAGGCGCGCUCGCGCCCCCUGUGGAGGCUCAUGGAAGAGGGAGGCAACCUCCUCCUGCAUCCGGACGCCUUGUCCGACGAGGAGCUGGACAAGGCCCUCCAUCUCCUGGUUGGGGAGGACCAGGGGUACCCGCCGGAUACCCAUCUUCCGCUGUACCGCCGCCCAGAUGGGGCGGAGGUCGCCGCCGCCAUGCCCGUCUUUAACGAGCGCGGGCUCGUGCCGCCAGCGCCCGUUGAGGCCCCGGUGGUGCUGUCCUCCGGCGAGCCCAGUGAGGAGGAGGGGUCGGACUUGGAGGCUACCCAGGAGGGGGCGGGGGAGACUUCUCCUCCGCGCGUGGCCGAUCUCCUGCGCACCUUCCCCGACGACGACGCCGACGAGCAUCUGGCGAGGGAGUCACUGCACCCCGCCGGGGUCACCACGAGGUCGAAGGGCACCCCCUCAAAGAAGCCGCAGGCCGGGGUCCCAAAGAAAAGCAGAUCAGCGCGGAUCUCCCAAGACGGUGCUUCUGCUUCGGCGUCGGCUGGUGCUGCUGCGAAUCCUGCCGCCGUGCCUUUGUCUGCUCCUAGGGCUCGCACGCCGGUGCCCCAGGCCGCGAAGCCUUCGGGCUUGGUGCUUCAGAAGAGGGUGAGGGAGUACGCCGCCGUGGACCAGUAAGUGCUCCACCCUGAUUCUUGUCCCUGUUUCUGCCGUUGUUUCUUGAUGCUUCUCCCUUGUACUGUCAGGCCAACGCUGGCGAAGAAGAAGAAGGAGACGGCCGCGACUCCUGGGGCCCGGCAGCCUGCCGCGGUUGCGCCACCUCUGGUGUGGAAGGACGGCGAUGGCUCUCGCGCCUCAGCGGCUGGGUCAUCCUCGCGAGAUUCAGAGGCCCGGCCUUAGAAGAAGGCGACCUCCAUGGCCCAGCCGGCUCCGAAGGCGCCCGCCCCCAGCUCGCCUGCUGAGGCUCCGAUGGCUCAGGAGGCCCCGGCCUCUUCUGCUGCCACCAACUUGCAGGUCUUGGCGGCGAUGCUGCCUCCUCCUCUCCCCAUCACGCCGCUGGGCCGUGAUCCUUCUGCUUUGCCUGACGCUCUGGAGGAGGCUCUUUCCACGCUGACCCAGCUUCGGGACGACCUUCAAGGCACCGACCGUCGCCUGGCGUUGGGGCGCCUGUAGUUGAUCUUGGGAUGGUUGCGAUCCGACGCGUCCGUCUGGGCGGCGGCAUGGAGCCAAGCCAUAGAAGCCUCCGAGGAAGGUGAGCGGGCCGUCGGCCUGGCCGCGACCGCCCGUGACGCAGCGCUGAAGGAUGUUGUGGCUGCCAAGGAGCGCUGCCGGUUGGCGGAGGCCGAGCUGGAGACUAUGCGCAAUGAGCGCAUCGUCGAGGCUCGGCAGCACGAGGCGUGGGAGGAGAAGAUGAAGGCUCGAGAAGACGCGGUUGCCCGUCGUGACACUGAGCUGGAGCAAUCGGCACGGGCGCAGGCCGCGGAGUGCGGCCGCCUGGAGAAGCUGAAGGAGAAGGUGGAGGCGGAGAAGGCCCAGCUGGAAGCCAAGGCGAAGGUUCUUGUCGAAGAUCAUGUAGCCUUCAAUUCCCUUGAGCUGCAGUCCCGCAAGGCACUGCAGGAGCUCUAUGGGAGGGGUUUGAAGAAGCCAUUUAUGACUGCUGAGGAAGGCCCCGCCGAGCUACUCCCCCAGCUUGCCACGACACUCGAGGGCGUCGUUAAUGGGGUCGGCCCCAUGGUGGAAGGGGAAGCCCACGCGCUCUCCUCCUCGGCUCUGACGCGCGUCUUCAGCCAGCUUCGUCUUCGCGACCCUGGCAUCGACCUCGGCGCUCUGCUUGAGCCUGUGGACGAGGAGCACUGCGCAGCCGCCGCCGAAGCCGUGAAGGACCGGGUGGACGCCCUACUGGAGAAGUUCCUCGCCAUCGACCCCGCGCCUCCGUCUGAUGGUGCCGCUGAUGCUACGGCCACAGCCGACGGCACGGGCAACGGCGACGUUGCCGACGAAGGAGUACCCCUUGCAGGCGACGGCAGCGCCCAAGGCUGAUGAGAAGGCUCGCUGGCGGCGCUUCCCUCUGCUUUUAUUUCCUGCCACAUGCAUUGUGCCUCGUGGAGGCGUUAAAACUUAUGCUUGGUAUUCGGAGAAACAAUAUGUCUUAUAAUAAUUUGUUAGGAUUCUGCGAUUUCCUUCCCGUUGCCUUAGUGUUCUGCAUCGGCAGGGCCCGGCCCCGCGCAUGCCUCAGCCACCGCCAGGACGAGACCAAGGGGUGAGGGGCUACGUGACCAGUUAGGCUCCUAAGGCGCGAUGCUCAGGAGUCCCCCUUGACGUACAAAUAGCCUUCGGGAAGGAGAUGCGAGAGUAGGCCUUAGCGUUCUGCGUCGGCAGGGCCCGGCCCCGUGUAUGCCUUAGCCGUCGUUGGGUCGUUCGGAUCGCCAGGACAAGACCAAGGGGUGAGGGGCUACGUGGCCAGUUAGGCCCUUGGGUCACACGAUGCCCAAGGGUCCCCCUUGACGUACGAAUAGACCCCAUACCUGUCCUCGCUGGUCUCUCGCGCGGGAGGGUUGCGCGAAGGCCAAGUCCGAAGGACAUGGCGAGGUGGCGUACGCCAGGCGUGACCUGAGCGUAGCCCCCGUGCCCAGCCCCCUUGCGCUACUCUCCCGAGGGGAAAGCAGCGCGGUGAGGCUAGUCACCGAGCCUGGUGGCUCCCUGAGGUUAUUGCAGCCGUGAGGCCACCCUCAGUUGUUGAUCACCAGCGCGUAGCAUGGCGCUACCGUUUUUGCACGGGCAUAGCCGCUCCUCGGUCGUGUCGACUGCCAGCGCGGAGCAUGGUGUUUCCACUGGUACGUGGGAGGGGGCUCCCUCUGAGGAGAGCCCCCGGGGCGUGUACAGCCCCGCCCUGACACAUGGCUUGUGAUAGGUCUCCGUCGUAUCUAUAAUUUUUUAUUGUUCCAUGCCAAUAUUAUACAACUUCCAUAUACUUUUUGGCAACUUUUUAUACUAUUUUUGGGACUAACAUAUUGAUCCAAUGCCCAGUGCCAGUUCCUGUUUGUUGCAUGUUUUUGUUUCGCAGAAUAUCCAUAUCAAACGGAGUCCAAACGGGAUAAAAACAGACGGAGAUUAUUUUUGGAAUAUUCGGAGAAUAUGGGAAGGAAAAUCCACGCAAGACGGUGCUCGAGGGAGGCACGACGCAGGGGGGCGCGCCCCACCCCCCUGGGCGUGCCCCUGACCCUCGUGGGCCCCCCGUAAGGCGGUUGAUGCCCUUCUUCGGCCGCAAGAAAGCUAAUUUUGGGGGAAAAAUCACGGCGAUGGUUUCAGUCCAAUCGGAGUUACGGAUCUCCAUAUAUAUACGAAACGGUGAAAGGGCAGCAGACCAGAGCGCAGAAACAGAGAGAGACAGAGAGACAGAUCCAAUCUCGGAGGGGCUCUCACCCCUCCCAUGCCAUGGAGGCCAAGGACCAGAGGGGAAACCCUUCUCCCAUCUAGGGAGGAGGUCAAGGAAGAAGAAGAAGAAGAAGGGGCCCCCUCUCCCCUUCUCUUCCGGUGGCGCCGGAACGCUGCCGUGCCCACCAUCAUCAUCGCCGCAAUCUUCACCAACAACUUCACCGCCAUCAUCACCAACUCUUCCCCCCUCUAUGCAGCGGUGUAACCUCUCUCUUACCCGCUGUAAUCUCUACUUAAACAUGGUGCUCAACGCUAUAUAUUAUUUCCCAAUGAUGUAUGGCUAUCCUAUGAUGUUUGAGUAGAUCCGUUUUGUCCUACGGGUUAUUUGAUGAUCAAGAUUGGUUUGAGUUGCAUGUUUUAUUAUUGGUGCUGUCCUAUGGUGCUCUCCGUGUCGCGCAAGCGUGAGGGAUCCCCGCUGUAGGGUGUUGCAAUACGUUCAUGAUUCGCUUAUAGUGGGUUGCAUGAGUGACUGAAACACAAACCCGAGUAAGGGGGUUGUUGCGUAUGGGAUAAAGAGGACUUGAUGCUUUAAUGCUCUGGUUGGGUUUUACCUUAAUGAUCUUUAAUAGUUGUGGAUGCUUUCUAGAGUUCCAAUCAUAAGUGCAUAUGAUCCAAGUAGAGAAAGUAUGUUAGCUUAUGCCUCUCCCUCAAAUAAAAUUGCAAUAAUGAUUACCGGUCUAGUUAUCGAUUGCCUAGGGACAAAUAACUUUCUCGUAACAAAAAGCUCUUUACUAAAACUAAUUAGUUGUGUCUUUAUCUAAACAGCCCCUACCUUUUAUUUACGCUCUCUUUAUAUUCUUGCAAACCUAUCUAAAAACACCUACAAAGUACUUCUAGUUUCAUACUUGUUCUAGGUAAAGCGAACGUUAAGCGUGCGUAGAGUUGUAUCGGUGGUCGAUAGAACUUGAGGGAAUAUUUGUUCUACCUUUAGCUCCUCGUUGGGUUCGACACUCUUACUUAUCGAAAGAGGCUACAAUUGAUCCCCUAUACUUGUGGGUUAUCAAGACCUUUUUCUGGCACCGUAGCCGGGGAGCAAUAGCGUGGGGUGAAUAUUCUCGUGUGUGCUUGUUUGCUUUAUCUCUAAGUAAUUUUUAUUUGCUGUUCUUAGUUGUUCUCUAUCUUUAGUUAUGGAUAUGGAACAUGAAAUACCAAAAAAAUUAGGUGUACUUGCUACUCUUGGAGAUGGGGAACCUCCUAAAACCCUUGAUGAUCAUUAUGUGAAAAAUAUUUUGUACCACUUUGAUAAUCCUGAGAAAACCUCAUUCAAUUAUGUAAUGGGAGACACGUUGGACCAACGUGAAUACUUUAGGGAUUAUCGCUUGACUCAAAAAGGGAAACUAUUAUGGGAUCAAAUUUAUAUGUUGAAGUGGUAUGCUCGGCAAGUAUGCUUGAGAUAUGAUUAUACUUGUUGCUCUAGGAUGAAGGCUCCACACCUUCCCUUUUCAUGCAAAUUUAAUGAUAAUGAAACCUUGGCUUCUUAUGCUAGAGGUAUAUAUGAUUACUAUGAUGUGGAACAAAUAGAAGAAUUUGUUGCUUUUAAGGGUGCUUAUGAAAUUGAAUUUUUGGUUGAAAAGUACGAAGCUUUUGAUGAUGAUGUUUAUAGGCCUGAAAAUUUUUCUAUAUUGAAAUAUUGUUAUGAGAAUUAUGAAUACAAUUCCGAUAUUGAUGCAUUUAUUGAGAAAGUCUCCACUGUCCAAGAAGAGACUAAUAUUUUGCAUGAGUCUAUGGAAGAAGAAAUUGAAGAAACUGUGAGCUCAUUGGAUGAAAAAGAUGAUGAGGAGAGCGAAGAACAAAAGGAGGAAGAGCGGAUUAGCUACCCGUGCCCACCUUCUAAUGAGAGUAACUCUUCAACUCAUACAUUGUUUAAUUCCCCUUAUUGCACCCACGCAUGAUAGUCCUAUUAUCUUUUUGAAUUCUCCCGACUACACUAUAUCGAAGAAGUUUGCACUUAUUAAGGAUUACAUUGAUGGGUUGCCUUUUACCGUUGCACAUGAUGAUUUUGAUGAAUAUAAUAUACAUGUGCUUGCUGCUCCUACUUGAAAUUAUUAUGAGAGAGGAACUAUAUCUCCACCUCUCUAUGUUUCCAACACGAUAAAAUUGCAAGAAACUGUUUAUACUAUGCAUUGGCCUUUACUAUGUGUGCAUGAAUUGUUCUUUUAUGACAUGCCGAUGGAUAGGAAGAGAGUUAGACUUCGUUGUUGCAUGAUAUAUGUUGCCUUGUGCUCACUACUAAAUGCCAAAUCAUUGCUAAUUAAAAUAGGCUUUGAUAUACCUUGGGAUCCGGGUGGAUUCACUACUUGAGCACUAUAUGCGCAGCUUAAUGCCUUUAAAGAAAGCGCUGCCAGGGAGACAACCCGGAAGUUAUAGAGAGUCAUUUAUUUCUGUUGAGUGCUUUUACAUAGUUUAAAAACAAAAUAAAAUAAAGAGGGGAACCUAAAACUUUUUCAAAAAGAAAACUGAAAGUGAGAAAGACGAGCAUUGUUAAAGUGGGAGCUAGCCUUGAACUUUGUUCAUGCUCACGGAAACUUUGUGAAUCUUGAUUACAGAAACUUUUCACUAAAUAUAAUUAUCCCCUUGUACAAUUCCAUUGUAUUAUAAAAAUAAUGUGCCAAGGUUUGCCUUUAGGAUGUUUACAAUGCUUGUUGGUUUGUACGGUGCAGGACAGAAAUUUUGGCUGUAGUGCUCGAUUUUACAUUUUUUUACUGGAACGUCAAAUGGUUCUGAUUAUUUUUGCACUGUCUUUCUAUACAAAUUGCUUAUUUUUCCUAAUUUUAGCAGAAUUGUUCAAGUAUCAGAAGUAUCGUGAAUGUUCAGAUUAUUACAGACUGUUCUGUUUUAGACAGAUUCUGUUUUUGAUGCAUAGUUUGCUUCUUUUGAUGAAACUAUCGAUUUAUAUCAGUGGAUUAAGCCAUGAAAAAAUUAUAUUUCAGUAGCUACAAUGCCAAAACAAAAUAUGAAUUGGUUUGCAACAGUACUUAGAGUAGUGAUUUGCUUUAUUAUACUAACGGAUCUUACCAAGUUUUCUGUUGAAGUUUUGUGUGGAUGAAGUGUUCGAUGAUCGAGGAGGUCUCGAUGUGAGAAGAAGGAAGAGAGGCAAGAGCUCAAGAUUGGGGAUGCCCAAGGCACCCCAAGUAAAUAUUCAAGGAGACUCAAGCAUCUAAGCUUGGGGAUGCCCCGGAAGGCAUCCCCUCUUUCUUCAACAAGUAUCGGUAUGUUUUCAGAUUCGUUUCGUUCAUGCAAUAUGUGCAAGUCUUGGAGCGUCUUUUGCAUUUAGUUUUCAUUUUUCUUUUAUGCACCAUGCUGGUAUGAGAUAGUCCUUGGUUGAUUUAUAAGAAUGCUCUUUGCACUUCACUUAUAUCUUUUGAGUAUGGCUUUAUAGAAUGCUUCAUGUGCUUCACUUAUAUCAUUUGAAGUUUGGAUUGCCUGUUUCUCUUUACAAAGAAAACCGCCAUUUGUAGAAUGCUCUUUUGCUUCACUUAUAUUUGUUAGAGCGUGGGCAUAUCUUUUUUAGAAAUAAUUAAACUCUCUUGCUUCACUUAUAUCUAUUUAGAGAGAUGGCAGGAACUGGUCAUUCACAUGGUUAGUCAUAAAAUCCUACAUAAAACUUGUAGAUCACUGAAUAUGAUAUGUUUGAUUCCUUGCAAUAGUUUUGCGAUAUAAAGAUGGUGAUAUUAGACUCAUGAUAGUGGGUAGUUGUGGAUUAGUAGAAAUACUUGUGUUGAGGUUUGUGAUUCCCGUAGCAUGCACGUAUGGUGAACCGUUGUGUAACGAAGUCGGAGCAUGAGGUAUUUAUUGAUUGUCUUAUGAGUGGCGGUCGGGGACGAGCGAUGGUCUUUUCCUACCAAUCUAUCCCCCUAGGAGCAUGCGCGUAGUACUUUGUUUUGAUAACUAAUAGAUUUUUGCAAUAAGUAUGUGAGUUCUUUAUGACUAAUGUUGAUUCCAUGGAUUAUACGCACUCUCACCCUUCCACCAUUGCUAGCCUCUCUAGUACCGUGCAACUUUCGCCGGUACCAUAAACCCACCAUAUACCUUCCUCAAAACAGCCACCAUACCUACCUAUCAUGGCAUUUCCAUAGCCAUUCCGAGAUAUAUUGCCAUGCAACUUCCAUCAUCAUCAUAUACAUGACUCGAGCAUUCAUUAUCAUAUUGCUUUGCAUGAUCGUAAGAUAGCUAGCAUGAUAUUUUCAUGGCUUGUCCAUUUUUUGAUAUCAUUGCUACACUAGAUCAUUGCACAUCCCGGUACACCGCCGGAGGCAUUCAUAUAGAGUCAUAUCUUUGUUCUAGUAUCGAGUUGUAAUAUUGAGUUGUAAGUAAAUAAAAAGUGUGAUGAUCAUCAUUAUUAGAGCAUUGCCCCGGUGAGGAAAGGAUGAUGGAAACUAUGAUUCCCCCACAAGUCGGGAUGAGACUCCGGACUUUAAAAAUAAAUAAAAGAGGCCAAAGAAGCCAAAAAGAAGAGGCAAAACAAGCCCACCAAAAAAGGGGAAAAAAUAAAAGAGAAUAAAAAAAUGAGAGAAAAAGAGAGAAGGGACAAUGUUACUAUCCUUUUACCACACUUGUGCUUCAGAGUAGCACCAUGUUCUUCAUAUAGGGAGUCUCUUGAGUUAUCACUUUCAUAUACUAGUGGGAAUUUUCAUUAUAGAACUUGGCUUGUAUAUUCCGAUGAUGGGCUUCCUCAAACGCCCGAGGUCUUCAUGAGCAAGCAAGUUGGAUGCACACCCACUUAGAUUUCAGUCUGAGCUUUCAUACACUUAUAGCUCUUAGUGCAUCCUUUGCAUGGCAAUACCUACUCACAUUGAUAUCUAUUGAUGGGCAUCUCCAUAGCUCGUUAAUACGCCUAGUUGAUGUGAGACUAUCUUCUCCUUUUUGUAUUCUCCACAACCACCAUUCUAUUCCACCUAUAGUGCUAUGUCCAUGGCUCACGCUCAUGUAUUGCGUGAAAGUUGAAAAGGUUUGAGAACAUCAAAAGUAUGAAACAAUUGCUUGGCUUGUCCUCGGGUUUGUGCAUGAUUUGAAUAUUUUAUGUGGUGAAGAUGGAGCAUAGCCAGACUAUAUGAUUUUGUAGGGAUAACUUUUUUUGGGCAUGUUAUUUUGAAAAGACAUGAUUGCUUUAUUAGUAGGCUUGAAGUAUUAUUGUUUUUACAUCAAAUGAUAGACUAUUGCUUUGAAUCACUCGUGUCUUAAUAUUCAUGCCAUGAUUAGAUACAUGAUCAAGAUUAUGCUAGGUAGCAUUCCACAUCAAAAAUUAUCUUUUUUAUCAUUUACCUACUCGAGGACGAGCAGGAAUUAAGCUUGGGGAUGCUGAUACGUCUCCGUCGUAUCUAUAAUUUUUGAUUGUUCCAUGCCAAUAUUAUACAACUUUCAUAUACUUUUUGGCAACUUUUUAUACUAUUUUUGGGACUAACAUAUUGACCAGUGCCCAGUGCCAAUUCCUGUUUGUUGCGUGUUUUUGUUUCACAGAAUAUCCAUAUCAAACGGAGUCCAAACGGGAUAAAAAUGGAUGGAGAUUAUUUUUGGAAUAUUCGGAGAAUAUGGGAAGGAAAAUCCACGCGAGACGGUGCCCGAGGGAGGCACGAGGCAGGGGGCACGCCCCACCCCCCUGGGCGUGCCGAUGACCCUUAUGGGCCCCUCGUAAGGUGGUUGAUGCCCUUCUUUGAGCCGCAAGAAAGCUAAUUUUUGGGGAAAAAUCACGGCGAAGGUUUCAGUCCAAUCGGAGUUACGGAUCUCCAUAUAUAUACGAAACGGUGAAAGGGCAGCAGAAUGGAGGGCAGAAACAGAGAGAGACAGAGAGACAGAUCCAACCUCGGAGGGGCUCUCGCCCCUCCCAUGCCAUGGAGGCCAAGGACCAGAGGGCAAACCCUUCUCCCAUCUAGGGAGGAGGUCAAGGAAGAAGAAGAAGAAGGGGACCCUCUCCCCUUCUCUUCCGGUGGCGCCGGAACGCUGCCGUGGCCACCAUCAUCAUCACCGCAAUCUUCACCAACAACUUCACCACCAUCAUCACCAACUCUCCCCCCUCUAUGCAGCGUUGUAACCUCUCUCUUACCCGCUGUAAUCUCUACUUGAACAUGGUGCUCAACGCUAUAUAUUAUUUCCCAAUGAUGUAUGGCUAUCCUAUGAUGUUUGAGUAGAUCCGUUUUGUCCUAUGGGUUAUUUGAUGAUCAAGAUUGGUUUGAGUUGCAUGUUUUAUUAUUGGUGCUGUCCUAUGCUGCUCUCCGUGUCGCGCAAGCGUGAGUGAUCCCCGCUGUAGGGUGUUGCAAUAGGUUCAUGAUUCGCUUAUAGUGGGUUGCGUGAGUGACUGAAACACAAACCCGAGUAAGGGGGUUGUUGCGUAUGGGAUAAAGAGGACUCGAUGCUUUAAUGCUAUGGUUGGGUUUUACCUUAAUGAUCUUUAGUAGUUGCGGAUGCUUGCUAGAGUUCCAAUCAUAAGUGCAUAUGAUCCAAGUAGAGAAAGUAUGUUAGCUUAUGCCUCUCCCUCAAAUAAAAUUGCAAUAAUGAUUACCGGUCUAGUUAUCGAUUGCCUAGGGACAAAUAACUUUCUCGUAACAAAAAGCUCUUUACUAAAACUAAUUUAGUUGUGUCUUUAUCUAAACAGCCCCUACCUUUUAUUUACGCUCUCUUUAUAUUCUUGCAAACCUAUCUAAAAACACCUACAAAGUACUUCUAGUUUCAUACUUGUUCUAGGUAAAGCGAACGUUAAGCGUGCGUAGAGUUGUAUCGGUGGUCGAUAGAACUUGAGGGAAUAUUUGUUCUACCUUUAGCUCCUCAUUGGGUUCGACACUCUUACUUAUCGAAAGAGGCUACAAUUGAUCCCCUAUACUUGUGGGUUAUCAGCUUGCACGGCAGGGCUAGAGGAGGUGUGUCUGGGCACCCAUGAGCCAGCGCGGGACUCAUGGGGCCCUACCUCAAGGCGGGUUGCGCCUGGUCUUGAUUGAGAGCACUUGUAAUAAUCCUGCGAGAUGGUUAGGCAACGUGCGCCGAGUGAAUCCCUUGAGGCUACCACAUGAGAAGGCCAGACACCAAUGGCCCCAGGAAGUGACGUGAACGGGGCCUGCCCGCCAGACAGAGCUCAUCCGCUGGGUUUAUCGACGUUGCAGGGACGGACCCGAGCACGGACGUUGUGCCUAGUCUUCUCAUGCGGACAUCUUGAAGAAAGACAGCCGGCGCGCGGCUCCCAUAGCGACGAGGCACCGUGUCGUGCGCCCUCACUUAUCCAUCCGCGAUUAGCUCAUCCGAGGGCAAGACACCAAGGACCAUGGGAGGUGACGUACACGGGAGCUGGCCCGUGAGCCAGAGCUCAGCCUCUUGGGUUUAGCAACGCUACAGGGAAGGACCUGAGCACAGACACCGUGCCAGUCCUUAAUCAUGAGGCAGUCGUGGGUGGAUUUGCAAGGGUGUACGACGUUCAUGGCAACGAAGUACCGGACAUGCAGAUGAUAAUCAUAAAGCGACUGAUGGAAAGGGUAACGCUAGUUCAGGUAGAUGCAAGAAUGAUACAUGCCACAGGGAUGGACCCAUGCGGCCUGGGGAUGAUGCAGCCCGAGGGGCGCCCCCAACAAGGUAAAUUAAAGAUGCAAAAAGAUACAUGUCGCAGGGACAGACCCGUGCGACCUGGGAAAAAUGCAGCCCGAGGGGCGCCCCCAACUGAACAAACUGGAAAAUGUCACCUGGCACCGUUGCUGAAGGGAUGUUGGAAGCUGAAGACGCUUGUCGAAGAAGUCGCUCUUCACAAGCCGCCUGGGUCAUGAGCCUCAGGAGCCUCUGGGGGUCCGGGGGGGCUCAUGAAGAACUGUCGCCAUCUCCGUUAAGACCGCCUGGUGCCUGGUCUCCUGAGCUGCCAGGACGCGCCGCGGGUGGCGCUGGAAGGAGACAGCCGUGUUCAGCAGGCUAUAAGGCAUGCGAACGUAGUUGUGAGGGGGGCCCUCACACCGACCAACGCGCGAUGGCUAGAAGCGCUCCUGAGACGCAGCCCUGUUGAGCCCGAGGUAGUCGAUGCAGACGCGCAGCUCGCUGUCCUCGCCUGGACAAGGAGCUGCGCCAGGUGGUAGGCGGCGGUCGCCGCGCAUGGCUCUUGCCUCUUGAAGCUCCUCGGUCGUCUUGGUGAUGAACUCCUGAGCACCAGGCACCUCGUGCCUCGUGCCCUCAUGCGGGAAGCGUGCGAUGAAGCAUGCCCCCAUGUGGUGCCCGAGCGCCUCCCUCGUGACGUUGCCUAGUUCAGAGGCCCUCCAGAGGAGAGCCCCCGAGCCCAGCCUAAGAGGGGCGAUGGGCGCGCCUUCCUAUGCGAGGGAGGGAGGCACCCCAUUCGCGGACACAUGUCUUGAGGUGGUGCGGCUGGAGACUACGACUCCUAAGGCUUUUGGUUGAAAAGCUGCUUCUUCUUCUUGGGGACAGCCUCGGGAGGGUAGACGGCACCUUCGUUGUCCGGGUCCUCGACUUCCGCAGCCUAGUAGGCGCGCUCAAGGGAGCACACGGCGUCCUUCUCCUCGCAGGCGAUCUUGAUGAUGUCACGGCUCCCUGGCAUCUUGAGGACGUUGUAGCCAUGAUGGGUCACCGCCAUGAACUUGGCCAGGGCCGUAUACCAAGGAUGGCAUUGUACGGUAGGCAGAUGUGGGCGACGUCGAAGUCGAUGAGCUCGGUGCGGUAGUUGUCGUGUUGGCCGAAGGUGACAGGGAGGCGGAUCUGCCCUAUCGGGGUGGUGGAGCCGUCAGUCACUCCUGAGAAAGGCUUGGUGGGCUGUAGCUGAUCGUAUGGCACUUGGAGGCGGUCGAACGUCUCGAUGGAAAGGACAUUGAGCCCUGCACCACCAUCGAUGAGUGUCUUGGUGACAAGGACAUUGCUGAUGAUGGGUGAAUAGAGCAUAGGGAGGGCGCCGGCAGUGGUCGCGCACUUGAGCUGGUCGGACGAGCCAAAGGUGAUGGUGCACUUGGACCACCUAAGCGGGCACGUUGCCUCGAGCCUGGGGAGAGCCGCAUUCACCUCACGGGCGAACUGCUUGAAGAUGCACUGAGAGGCUGGGGCCUGAGCAUCACCCAAGAUGCAGGCGAUGGCGCGUGGCUCCUGGAAGCCCCCAACCCCCUCAUCCUGGUCGUCGUUCCUCCUUGGUGGUGGUGGCAGUGGAGGGAGGCCCACCUUGCCCUGAGGACGGUCCUCACGAGGCUGAUCCCUCCGGGCGUCCUCGCGAGGCUGGCCCUACCAGCGAUCCUCAUGAGGCUGGUCGCGCCACUCCUGGCGGGGACCGCGGUCGUCCCAGUGUCCUCCACUUCGUCCUCCUCCAUGGACGUAGCCUCGGUCGUUGCGCUCAGGGCGUCGACUGAAGCGCCCGUCGCGGAUGGCCCUGAGCUCUUGACAGUCGCUGGUGUUGUGGCUGUGCACGUUGUGGAAGGCGCAGAAUGGGCGACUGCCCUUGGAUGACUCCGGGUGGUCGAGGCCGCGCUUCAUCUCUGGCUCAGCCGCAAGCACGGCCGCUCCCUUGCGCUUCACAUCCUUGGCCCUGGCCUUCUUGUCUUCUGGGUCUGCAGCUGGGAGCUCAAGGAGGGAGAGGCGCCCUUCCUCAGCUCUCGCGCACUUGGUCGCCAUGUUGAACAUCUCCAGAGCCGUGCACAGGUCCUCGUGUAUGGCGAGCUCCUCUUUCAUCUUGACAUCAUGGACGCCAUCAGAGAAUGCGGAGAUGAUGGCCUCGUCUGUCACCUUGGGGAUCUUGAGGCGAACGUUGUUGAAGUGCUGGAUGUACUUCUGCAGGGUUUCCCCUGGCUGCUGCUUGAUGCGCCGCAGGUCACCCGCGGCAGGUGGGCAGUCGCGAGUACCCUGGAAGUUGGCGACGAAACGCUCACGCAUCUCGCCCUAGGAGGAGAUCCAUCCCGCGGGCAGGUCGAGGAGCCAUGAGCGCGCGCCGUCCUUGAGAGCCUUGGGAAACCAGUUCGCCAUGACCUUCUCGUCGCCGUUGGCCGCCUCGAUGCUUAGCUCAUAGAGCUGCAGGAACUCAGCAAGGUCGGGGGUGCCGUCGUAGCGCGGAGGCAGGUCGGGCUUGAACUUCCCGCGCUAGACGACGCUGCGCAGCUCGGGAGUAAAGGCACGGCAACCCGUUGUAGUCGCUGGAGCCCGUCGUGGAGGCGGAGCCUGGUCUUGGUACCCACGCGCCGCCACCGCAGGCGGCGCACGGUCUUGACGCGGUGGUGCCGGGAGCACGGGAGCAUCUUCUUGCGGCCACGGAACCUCGGCAGCUUCCUUCUUCACGCGCGGGCAUCCUACGCGGCAGGUCGUGCCGCGGGGCCGCGCGCCUUGGUGCGAGGGCGACGUCUUGACGGGGAGGUGGUGAAGGCGCUCCAUUGGCUACGUCGCCCGCGGCAGGCACCGGGCGAGGCAGCGAGAGAGACGGUGCGGGAGAACCCCCAGUGGCGCUGACGAGCUCGGUGAUGCGGUCCAGCCAGUCCUCGUAGAGGUCGUCGACGGGGCAGUAGCGCAGGAGCUCGCGCGCCAAGAGUAGCGAAGCCUGUGCGUCCGCAGGCCCACGACGAGCGUGGGACGACGAGCCGGCCGGAGUCAGCGACGGGGUGGUGGUACAUCCAUCCCGCCGCAUGGAGGGGUGCAGCGACGAAGCUUGUUGCUCGUGCCCGCCGUGCCAGUGGCAGCGUUGGCUGCGGGUGAUGGAGAGCGACGGGGAGGCCCGCCGACAGGCGCUGUCUGGGCGACGCGGGUGGCGAGAGCGGCUCGGCGCUCAGCGCGGGCUCGGCGAGCAUCAGCCAUGGAAGCAGUGGAGCGGUGCGUCGACUGACGAAGAAGAGGCUUCGGCACACCCCUACCUAGCGCGCCAAAUGUCGGAUUUUGGGUUCCGUAGACCCUUGAGAGGUUUGAACUCUGGGGUGCGCAUGAAUAACACUUUCUCCCCAGCCUGCUCACUCAACGAUUCCACGGCCUAACUCGACGAACCCAAAGAAUAGGUGACACGGGGGUUUAUACUAGUUUGGUCCACCUUGCGGUGUAAUACACUACUCCAGUUUUGUGGUGGAUUGCCUUGAGGGACUGAGGAUGAACUAGUAUAGUGGAUGAACGACCUCAGGAGGUGAGGUGUUCUUGAGCUCGAUGAGCUGGUGAGAUGGCCUUGGUGGAAUGGAUCCAGCCGAAGAUGAGAUGCCCCCUAUGGUGGUGGCUAAGUCCUAUUUAUAGUGGUCUUGGUCCUCUUCCCAAAUGUAGGCGGGAAGGGAUCCCACAACGGCCAAGUUUGAAGGAAGACAACUAGUACAAGCUAUCCUGACAAAAGUAGUCUUCGCCUACCAAAGGCUCUGGUGGUGACGUCGCUAUGGGCUCCGCGAUGACCUCCGUCCUGCCGUCUUGGUGGUCUUGGUCUUGUUGCACCGACAAGGAAACCUUUGCUUGAUUCCUCGGGACUCCGCGUCUGCGCUUGCCUCCUUAGCACCAAAGAGGAAACUGGUACGCUGCACCCGUUGGCGCCUGCCUGGCCUUGGUCGUCAUGGCUCACGUCAUGUGAACCUCGCGAGGUGCGCCUUGCAUAGAUAUCUCUGCUCCUUGGGAGCCAGCCUAGCUAGGCCACUCCCAGGGAGGUCUUGGUGUCGUCCGCCUCGCGAGGCUUGGCCCCUCGCGAGGGUCUUGAGCUGUUGCUACUGAAGCUGGGCCGUACCGGGCCGUUGAUGGAGCCACGCCUUGGGCCGCAGGCAGGCAAGUCUGGGUACCCCCAUUCCCUGGACGCCGACACCAUCCAGGAGCGAGCUAGCUAGCUAGCUCCUCCGUCACCGCGCGCUGCGGCCGGGGCGGACGACGCAGACGGGCGGGCGCGGUGGCCGGGUCGGACANNNNNNNNNNNNNNNNNNNNNNNNNNNNNNNNNNNNNNNNNNNNNNNNNNNNNNNNNNNNNNNNNNNNNNNNNNNNNNNNNNNNNNNNNNNNNNNNNNNNNNNNNNNNNNNNNNNNNNNNNNNNNNNNNNNNNNNNNNNNNNNNNNNNNNNNNNNNNNNNNNNNNNNNNNNNNNNNNNNNNNNNNNNNNNNNNNNNNNNNNNNNNNNNNNNNNNNNNNNNNNNNNNNNNNNNNNNNNNNNNNNNNNNNNNNNNNNNNNNNNNNNNNNNNNNNNNNNNNNNNNNNNNNNNNNNNNNNNNNNNNNNNNNNNNNNNNNNNNNNNNNNNNNNNNNNNNNNNNNNNNNNNNNNNNNNNNNNNNNNNNNNNNNNNNNNNNNNNNNNNNNNNNNNNNNNNNNNNNNNNNNNNNNNNNNNNNNNNNNNNNNNNNNNNNNNNNNNNCGGCCGGGCGGCCGGGCGAGCUUCAUGGUGUUGGCAGGAGCAGAGAUUUCUCAACCGCCCUGGAAAAGUUGCCUUCAAAACUGUAGAUACGAGGGUUUCGGCUUCGUAUUUACGGGGCCCCUUAAAAAAAUUAAGGGUCGGACGAUUUUAAAGGGUCUGUUCGGGCCCGUUUUUUCAACUGGAAUUGUAAAAAAUAGUUAUUUUGCGGGUUUAACCACUUAUGCGGGUCUGCUAGAGAUGCUCUCAGCGAGACAGAAGGAAGUCUCACUUAAGGCGAGAAAUAGUCAUCGCGUCUUAUUCAGGCGCAUCCGGGAGAUCCUCGUCAGUUCAUGAACAACAAGCAAUUGUCUUUUUGAACAUGAAUUAUAGCUUGAUGUAUAGCGGGGAACACUACGGUGCAACACACGUACAUAAUAGGAUUAAGAAAAAAUCCACAUUACUCUCUCUAUAUAUAUAUGUCAGUUUCUUCACGUAUAUCACAGUUAGAUAACCGGAGUGGGGAAGAACAGUGGUGCCGUAUGAUACGGGGCUAUCGCGUGUAUGCACAUAUCUAUACCGACUCUGCCCACAAAUGGAAAUAUAAAAAGUAGCAUUGAUGUGCGCUAGUGGGGAAUCCAGACUCUCUGGGAAGGCCUUAAUCCUGUUGAUUUCGACAUUCUACUUUACGUCCCCUGUUACUAAAUUCUAUUUCAGUAUUUUACCUUUAUGCUCGCAACCCGGUUUUCACCAUUUUACUACUAUGUUGGAUUUCCUACAACUUGCAGGCAUGGCUAUUUAAAAAGUAAAUGUGGAUGUCUGGGUAGUGCACCCACUAGAUUAAUUACACAUGUAAUCCGCCAACACUAAAUGCAAAUUUGCAACACACUUAUCUAUAUAUUAAAUGAGGGCAUAUCUUAGCAUGAUAUGGUCAGUCUUAUUAAUGCUUUAACAAAUAUACCAAUCUUAGAAAAUCAAUUUUAGCAAAAAAAAAGCCCGCGAGCAUUCAAUAUGGUUACCAGAUAUCGCAAGGCCAUCCAUAAGAUUUAAGAUCUUAUCCAACAAACUAAAUCUACAUGUAGAUUUGUUGGAUGGAGAGAUGUGGUAUUUAAGUGUGCUCACCACCAUAGCCCAUAUAAAAAACCAUGUGGUGUAGAAGUCUUGCAUAACCAAAGAUUGAUCAACACACCUGCCUAGUGUUAACAUCUUCCACAAGAAAGAUGGCUAGUUCUAAAGUAAUGUGGGUGUUCUGCCUCCUAGCUUUACUGGCUUUCACUUCUUGUUCUUAUCAUGUACGAGCAGAAGAUCAUGCCACCAAGGAGAAAAAUGAGGUGAUGGAGUAUUGCNNN
rnacentral:lncRNA from 1 species